GAAUGUGAUGAAAGUGGUAAACAUAUUUGACUUAGAAUCAGAGUCUUGCAGGUUCGAGUCCUGUCAUUCU
rnacentral:tRNA from 1 species